rnacentral:rRNA from 1 species
UACGGGGGGAGCAAGCGUUGUUCGGAUUUACUGGGCGUAAAGGGCGCGUAGGCGGUCGUGACAAGUCACUUGUGAAAUCUCCGGGCUUAACUCGGAACGGUCAAGUGAUACUGUCGGACUAGAGUACAGAAGGGGCAACUGGAAUUCUCGGUGUAGCGGUGAAAUGCGUAGAUAUCGGGAAGAACACCGAUGGCGAAGGCAGCCAUCUGGACCGACACUGACGCUGAGGCGCGAAAGCCAGGGGAGCGAACGGG